rnacentral:rRNA from 1 species
GACGAACGCUGGCGGCGUGCUUAACACAUGCAAGUCGAACGGAAAGGCCCUGCUUGCCGGGUACUCGAGUGGCGAACGGGUGAGUAACACGUGGGUGAUCUGCCCUGCACUUCGGGAUAAGCCUGGGAAACUGGGUCUAAUACCGGAUAGGAGCCAUUUUUAGUGUGAUUGUUGGAAAGUUUUUUCGGUGUAGGAUGAGCUCGCGGCCUAUCAGCUUGUUGGUGGGGUAAUGGCCUACCAAGGCGGCGACGGGUAGCCGGCCUGAGGGGGUGGACGGCCACAUUGGGGCUUGGGUAAGGCCCAGGCGCCCACGGGAGGCAGCAGGGGGGAAUAUUGCACAAUGGGCGCAAGCCUGAUGCAGCGACGCCGCGUGGGGGAUGACGGCCUUCGGGUUGUAAACUCCUUUCGCUAGGGACGAAGCUUUUUGUGACGGUACCUAGAUAAGAAGCACCGGCUAACUACGUG